rnacentral:sRNA from 1 species
GCAUGCCUGUCGGGACCCG